UACGUAGGGUGCAAGCGUUAAUCGGAAUUACUGGGCGUAAAGCGUGCGCAGGCGGUUUUGUAAGUUUGUCGUGAAAUCCCCGGGCUCAACCUGGGAAUUGCAUUCGAAACUGCGAGGCUAGGGUACGGAAGAGGGAAGCGGAAUUUCUGGUGUAGCGGUGAAAUGCGUAGAUAUCAGAAGGAACAUCAGUGGCGAAAGCGGCUUCCUGGUCCAGUACCGACGUUCAGGCACGAAAGCGUGGGGAGCAAACAGG
rnacentral:rRNA from 1 species